rnacentral:rRNA from 1 species
CUGGGCUCGAAAUGCAGAUGACAUCCGGUGAAAGCCGGCUCCCGCAAGGGCAUCUGUAUAGGUGCUGCAUGGCUGUCGUCAGCUCGUGUCGUGAGAUGUUGGGUUAAGUCCCGCAACGAGCGCAACCCUCGUCCUCUGUUGCCAUCAGGUCAAGCUGGGCACUCUGAGGAGACUGCCGGUGAUAAACCGGAGGAAGGUGGGGAUGACGUCAAGUCAGCAUGGCCUUUAUGUCCAGGGCCACACACGUGCUACAAUGGCGGAUACAAAGCGCUGCAAACUCGCGAGAGUGAGCCAAUCGCAUAAAGUCCGUCUCAGUUCGGAUUGUAGGCUGCAACUCGCCUGCAUGAAGUUGGAAUCGCUAGUAAUCGCGGAUCAGCAUGCCGCGGUGAAUACGUUCCC